UCGCUGACGCUUUGCAGAAGCUCCGUACGACCGUGCCUCCGUUGACGUGGGUGUCAAAUCUUGCGUGAGCCAUUACGCGCAGCUUCGAGCCUUCAACAGUUCCACCUCCCACCGUCUGGUCCCUAGCCGCCAAGAGAUUCCACGCCGCAUCGUCCAGCACGAGUGGAGAAACUGAAACAAGAUCCCGACAAAUUCAGAACCCGAUUUGGUGGUCACCUCCAAUUCCGCUGGUACUUAAUCCCAGGGACAACAACAAGAAUCGCUCCUCUCAGUUCUAUUGGAGCCUUAUCUGAUCAGUUUGGGUUGGGUUGAUAACUUGAGGUUGCGAUUUUUUUGGAGCUGCGGGAGAGAAAGGAAGAGAUGGGGCAGAGCAAGGCGGAGUUCUUGGAACAGUUCGGUGGGGACUACGGUUAUCCGGACGCGCCCAGGGGCAUCGACGAGCUGCGGGCCGCUGAGUUCAAGCGGCUGGAAGGGAUGGUUUACCUGGACCAUGCUGGUGCGACACUCUACUCAGAGGCACAGAUGGCGGAUGUUGCUAGAGAUCUUAUGUCUAAUGUCUACGGGAAUCCUCAUAGUCAGAAUGAUUCAAGCAUGGCUACAAGCGACAUUGUUACUUCUGUGCGGCAUCAGGUCCUAAAAUACUUCAAUGCAUCUCCAAGGGAUUACAAAUGUAUAUUUACAUCAGGGGCAACAGCAGCUCUGAAACUUGUUGGUGAAUGUUUUCCAUGGAGUAGAGACAGUUGCUAUAUGUACACAAUGGAAAAUCAUAAUAGUGUGCUUGGGAUAAGAGAAUAUGCACUGAGCAAAGGAGCUACUGUAUCAGCAGUUGAUGUUGAAGAGGUUGUUGAUCCAUCAAAUAAUCAUGAGAGUGAUAGGUUUUUUAAGGUUUCAAAACACUCAAACCAAAGAAGAGGUGAUGAUUUGCUUUUGCACAAUUAUCAGAAUGGGAGCCUGACAGCUAUUUCAGGAAACAAUUUAAAUCUAUUUGCAUUCCCUUCAGAGUGCAAUUUCUCAGGACAUAAGUUCAACCUCAACUUGGUCAAGCUCAUCAAGGAAGGAAAAUUUAUGGAUUUCUCAUCACAACAGCGGGGCCAGUGGAUGGUUCUGAUAGAUGCUGCAAAAGGAUGUACAACUGAACCACCAAACUUAUCCCUGUAUCCUGCUGACUUUGUUGUCUGUUCAUUUUACAAGAUAUUUGGCUAUCCAACUGGUCUUGGUGCCUUAAUUGUAAAAAAUGAGGCUGCUAGUUUACUGAACAAGACAUACUUCAGUGGAGGAACGGUAGCUGCUUCAAUUGCUGACAUCGACUUUGUUCAGAAAAGAAAAGGCAUUGAGCAAGCUCUUGAGGAUGGAACAAUCUCAUUCUUGAGCAUAUCUUCUCUUCAAUAUGGCUUUAAGAUAAUCGAUAUACUAACUAUCUCAGCUAUUGCACGGCAUACUGCGUCUCUUGCUACUUAUGUGAGAAAUAAAAUGCUGGAAUUGAAGCAUAACAAUGAGAAAAAUGUUUGCAUAAUCUAUGGACAAGCUUCUAAGGCAAAUUAUCUAAAAAUGGGUCCUACAAUCACAUUCAAUUUGAAAAGAGAAGAUGGCACCUGGUUUGGAUAUCGUGAGGUGGAGAAACUUGCCUCAUUGUCAGGAAUUCAUUUGCGUACGGGCUGCUUCUGUAACCCUGGUGCAUGUGCUAAGUAUGUUGGUUUGUCGCACUCAGAUCUAGUUUCCAAUUUUGAGGCUGGGCAUGUUUGUUGGGAUGAUAAUGACAUAAUAAAUGGAAAACCAACUGGUGCUGUGAGGAUAUCAUUUGGCUAUAUGUCAACAUAUGAAGAUGCAGAGGAAUUUCUGAAGUUCCUGCAGUCAUCUUUUGUGUCCAAACCUGUGGGAUUGAAAAAUGGCUACAUGGUGAAUACGGAUACUUUUAAUUUAGUAGAUGAUUGGCGCCAGCAAGCUAUUUCAGAUAUUCGCUUAAAAUCCAUAACUAUCUAUCCUGUGAAAUCUUGCCAAGGAUUUAGUGUGCAGAGCUGGCCACUGACAACUGGUGGUUUAAAAUAUGAUAGAGAAUGGCUUCUCCAAGGAUCAGGCGGUGAAGUUUUGACACAAAAGAAGGUUCCUGAAUUGAGCUCUAUCUGCACAUUGAUUGACUUGGAGCUUGGGAAACUCUUCUUAGAGUCGCCAAAAUGCAAGGAUAAAUUGCAAAUCUGUCUUCUAGAGAAUCUGACUCUUCUGAGUGCAGAAGUAGAUGUUUAUGGUCAAAGGUAUGAGGUGCAAAGUUAUGGCGACAAGGUAAACUCCUGGUUCAGUGGAGCUAUUGGACGUCCUUGUACAUUUGUGAGAUGCUCAAGUUCCAAGUACCGUUCCUGCACAAUUAAUGGCAGGAGAGAUCGCCUCUGUAGGGAUACUCGAAGCAAACUUAGUUUUGUGAACGAAGGACAGUUGCUUCUUGUUUCUGAAGAUAGUAUAUCUGAUCUCAACAGUCGAUUAAGUUCAAGUAAUGGAAAUGGUAAGCAAGGGGUGUUGGUUGAUGCAAUGAGAUUUCGUCCAAAUAUUGUUGUCUAUGGGUCCACACCAUACAAUGAGGAUAACUGGAAAAGGCUUCACAUAGGGGAUGCCUAUUUCACUCUCUCCUGCGUGUUCGAGAAAAAAAAAGGGCAAGAAAGGAAGAAAAGAGCGAAAAGUCCAUGGGGGGAUGCAACCGUUGUCAGAUGAUCAACCUGUAUCAGAGCUCAGGGCAGGUGAUCAAGUCAAAGGAACCGCUGGCAACUUUAGCAUCAUAUAGACGAAAACAGGGAAAGAUUUUGUUUGGCGUCCUGUUGAACUAUGAAGACGGCAUGGAAGGAGAAGAUGAUGCCAUUGUAGAGAGAUGGCUCAAAGUGGGGCAAGAGGUGUAUCCUUCUACAUAAAGACUUCUGUACAUGUGUACCCAGAAGUUUCUCCUGCAUAAGAGGCUGACGGGCAACAGUUAGUUAUAUACGUGAAAAAUAUGGACUUUCUGAUAUACCAUGUAUGUAAUAAUUUUAUUUUCAUGCCUGUAUGUAAUAACACAUACGCGCUUGAGGCCUGUAUUCAGAAACAAACAUAUAGAAAACAAAUAUACAGCAAUACAACAUACAAGGAAUUGUAAAAA